rnacentral:tRNA from 1 species
GCAGUGGUGGUUCAGUGGUAGAAUUCUCUCCUUCCAUGAGGCAGACCCAGGUUCGAUUCCCGGCCAACAUA